rnacentral:rRNA from 1 species
UACGUAGGUGGCAAGCGUUGUCCGGAUUUAUUGGGUUUAAAGGGUGCGUAGGCGGUCUAAUAAGUCAGUGGUGAAAUCCGGCAGCUUAACUGUCGAUGUGCCAUUGAUACUGUUGGACUUGAGUACAGACGAGGUAGGCGGAAUUGACGGUGUAGCGGUGAAAUGCUUAGAUAUCGUCAAGAACACCGAUAGCGAAGGCAGCUUACUAGACUGUAACUGACGCUGAUGCACGGAAGUGUGGGGAUCAAACAGG